rnacentral:rRNA from 1 species
UACGGAGGGUGCAAGCGUUAUCCGGAUUCACUGGGUUUAAAGGGUGCGUAGGCGGGCAGGUAAGUCAGUGGUGAAAUCUCCGGGCUUAACCCGGAAACUGCCGUUGAUACUAUCUGCCUUGAAUAUCGUGGAGGUAAGCGGAAUAUGUCAUGUAGCGGUGAAAUGCUUAGAUAUGACAUAGAACACCCGUUGCGAAGGCAGCUUACUACACGAUCAUUGACGCUGAGGCACGAAAGCGUGGGGAGCAAACAGG